GUUAUAUGGUCAAGUGAAGAAGCGCAUACGGUGGAUGCCUUGGCAGUCAGAGGCGAUGAAAGACGUGGUAGCCUGCGAUAAGCUUCGGGGAGUCGGCAAACAGACUGUGAUCCGGAGAUCUCUGAAUGGGGGAACCCACCCAGCACAAGCUGGUUAUCUUGUACUGAAUACAUAGGUGCAAGAGGCGAACCAGGGGAACUGAAACAUCUAAGUACCCUGAGGAAAAGAAAUCAACCGAGAUUCCCUUAGUAGUGGCGAGCGAACGGGGACUAGCCCUUAAGCUUCUUUGAUUUUAGCGGAACGCUCUGGAAAGUGCGGCCAUAGUGGGUGAUAGCCCUGUACGCGAA
rnacentral:rRNA from 1 species